AAUGAACGCUGGCGGCAGGCCUAACACAUGCAAGUCGAGCGAGCAUUUCGGUGCUAGCGGCGGACGGGUGAGUAACGCGUGGGAACGUGCCCUUUUCUGCGGAAUAGUCCUGGGAAACUGGGGGUAAUACCGCAUACGCCCUUUUGGGGAAAGAUUUAUCGGAGCAGGAUCGGCCCGCGUUGGAUUAGGUAGUUGGUGGGGUAAUGGCCCACCAAGCCGACGAUCCAUAGCUGGUUUGAGAGGAUGAUCAGCCACACUGGGACUGAGACACGGCCCAGACUCCUACGGGAGGCAGCAGUGGGGAAUCUUAGACAAUGGGGGCAACCCUGAUCUAGCCAUGCCGCGUGAGUGAUGAAGGCCUUAGGGUUGUAAAGCUCUUUCAGCUGGGAAGAUAAUGACGGUACCAGCAGAAGAAGCCCCGGCUAACUCCGUG
rnacentral:rRNA from 1 species